AACCCACCUGUCUUGGCACUGAGCUGAGCCUACACUGCUGGAGGACAAAUAACAGAGAGAGAGAUGGAGAGAGAGGAGGAGAGAGAGGUGGAGAGAGAGAUGGAGAGAGAGGAGGAGAGAGAUGGAGAGAGAGGAGGAGAGAGAGGUGGAGAGAGAGAUGGAGAGAGAGAUGGAGAGAGAGAUGGAGAGAGAGGAGGAGAGAGAGGUGGAGAGAGAGAUGGAGAGAGAGGAGGAGAGAGAGGAGGAGAAAGAGAUGGAGAGAGAGGAGGAGAGAGAUAGAGAGAGAGAUGUAGAGAGAGAGAUGGAGAGAGAGGUGGAGAGAGAGAUGGAGAGAGAGGGAGAGAGAGAAGGAGAGAGAGGAGAGAGAGAGGAGGAGAGCGAGAGAGAGAG
ensembl:lncRNA